GAUGAAGAACGUAGCGAAAUGCGAUAAGUAAUGUGAAUUGCACAAUUCAGUGAAUCAUCCAAUCUUUGAACGCACAUUGCGCCCCUUGGUAUUCCGAGGGGCAUGCCUGUUCGAGCGUCAUUAUAACCCUCAAGCUCAGCUUGGUGUUGGGGCCUGCUGCACUGGCAGCCCUUAAAAUCAGUGGCGGCGCCAUCUGGCUCUAAGCGUAGUAAUUCUUCUCGCUAUGGAGUCCUGGUGGAUGCUUGCCAUCAACCCCCAAUUUUUCUAUGGUUGACCUCGGAUCAGGUAGGGAUACCCGCUGAACUUAAGCAUAUCAAUAAGCGGAGGA
rnacentral:misc_RNA from 1 species